rnacentral:lncRNA from 1 species
GCCAUCCACAAAUUCAGUGUGACAAAGCUAGGCAUCUAUUACAACUCGAGUGCAUCAGACGGUCUUCUAUUGUUUCUGUCUACCCUAUUUCACUGACAAGACUGGGAUCGGACCCAGGAAUCGGCUUUGAUGGAAGAGGAUAAAGGGAAACCAAAAAGUAAAUAUUCAUAUUAUAGAUAUGGACGUGAUGAUCUCAAGCGCCAAGCCGUGGAGUAUUAUCAAAAGAAUAAAGUUCCACAAAAAAUUGAAGAGGUUCUGAAUAACUUAUUUUAUGAUCAGCCACCUGAUAUUUAUGGAUAUUUGGUGAACUUCUUCCAGAAAUUUGCACUUCCUGCAAUUAUAAGUAGGCUGUAUGCAGA